UUGACCUCAAAUCAGGUAGGACUACCCGCUGAACUUAAGCAUAUCAAUAAGCGGAGGAAAAGAAACUAACAAGGAUUCCCCUAGUAACUGCGAGUGAAGCGGGAAAAGCUCAAAUUUAAAAUCUGAGGGUCCUUGUGGCCUUCCGAGUUGUAAUCUAGAGAAGUGCUAUCCGCGCUGGACCGUGUACAAGUCUCCUGGAACGGAGCGUCAUAGAGGGUGAGAAUCCCGUCUUUGACACGGAC
rnacentral:rRNA from 1 species